rnacentral:rRNA from 1 species
AAGGUAACGCCUGCCCAGUGAGUCUCACUUAAACGGCCGCGACUAAACGUGCAAAGGUAGCGCAAUCACUUGUUCCAUAAAUGGGGACCCGUAUGAACGGCCACAUGAGAAAGAAGCUGUCUCUUGAAGAUAGCCAGUGAAACUGAUCUGCUUGUUCAAAAGCAAGCAUAAUCAAGCUAGACAAAAAGACCCUGCGAAACUUAAAGCUAAGCAUUAAACAAACUAAUGCCUAACUUUUAGUUGGGGCAACUAUGAUACACUAAACAUCCUUAAACAUUCUAAACCAACAAGUUAAAAUUACCCAAACAAAAGAUCCGGCACUGCCGACCAACGAACCAAGCUACUCCAGGGAUAACAGCGCCAAAUUCUUUGAGAGUCCACAUCAACAAGAAUUCUUACGACCUCGAUGUUGGAUCAGGGUAUCCAAACAGCGCAGAAGCUGUUAACGGUUCGUUUGUUCAACGACUAAAACCCU